rnacentral:rRNA from 1 species
GACGAACCGUCCUAACGUUGUUCGGAAUCACUGGGCUUAAAGGGCGCGUAGGCGGGCUCUCAAGUCCGGGGUGAAAUCUUUCGGCUCAACCGGAAAAUAGCCUUGGAUACUGGGAGUCUCGAGGGAGGUAGGGGCGGGUGGAACUUCCGGUGGAGCGGUGAAAUGCGUUGAUAUCGGAAGGAACGCCGGUGGCGAAAGCGACCCGCUGGACCUCUUCUGACGCUGAGGCGCGAAAGCCAGGGGAGCAAACGGG